rnacentral:rRNA from 1 species
GAUGAACGCUAGCGGCAGGCUUAACACAUGCAAGUCGAGGGGCAGCGGGUGUAGCAAUACAUGCCGGCGACCGGCGAAAGGGUGAGUAACGCGUGAGCAACGUGCCCGUAUGUGGGGGAUAGUCGAUGGAAACGUCGCGUAAUACCCCGUAACACAUGGUCUCGCAUGGGAUUAUGUUGAAAGAUUUAUUGCAUACGGAUCGGCUCGCGUGCCAUUAGGUAGACGGCGGGGUAACGGCCCACCGUGCCGACGAUGGCUAGGGGUUCUGAGAGGAAGGUCCCCCACAUUGGAACUGAGACACGGUCCAGACUCCUACGGGAGGCAGCAGUGAGGAAUAUUGGACAAUGGCCGGAAGGCUGAUCCAGCCAUGCCGCGUGCGGGAAGACGGCCCUAUGGGUUGUAAACCGCUUUUGCGGGGGAGCAAUAAGAGUCACGUGUGGCUCGAUGAGAGUACCCUGCGAAUAAGCAUCGGCUAACUCCGUGCCAGCAGCCGCGGUAAUACGGAGGAUGCAAGCGUUAUCCGGAUUUAUUGGGUUUAAAGGGUGCGCAGGCGGCUUGUUAAGCGGGAGGUGAAAUGCCGGCGCUCAACGUCGGAAGUGCCUCCCGAACUGGUGAGCUUGAAUGACUCUGCCGUGGGAGGAAUGUGUAGUGUAGCGGUGAAAUGCUUAGAGAUUACACAGAACACCGAUUGCGAAGGCAUCUCACGAAGGGUUGAUUGACGCUGAGGCACGAAAGCGUGGGGAUCAAACA